rnacentral:rRNA from 1 species
UCCGUAGGCGGGCAAUUAAGUCAGAGGUGAAAUCCCACAGCUCAACUGUGGAACUGCCUUUGAUACUGGUUGUCUUGAGUCAUAGUGAAGUAGGUAGAAUAUGUAGUGUAGCGGCGAAAUGCAUAGAUAUUACAUAGAAUACCGAUUGCGAAGGCAGUCUACUAACUGUAUACUGACGCUAAUGGACGAAAGCGUGGGGAGCGAACAGGAUUAGAUACCCUGGUAGUCC